rnacentral:rRNA from 1 species
GACGAACGCUGGCGGCGUGCUUAACACAUGCAAGUCACGGGGGCUCGCAAGAGCAACCGGCGAACGGGUGCGUAACACGUGAGCAAUUUGCCGAUUUCUGGGGGAUAGCCGGCCCAACGGCCGGGUAAUACCGCAUACGCUCAAGGGGUGGAGUCACCUUUUGAGGAAACCUCCGGGGGAAAUCGAGGAGCUCGCGGCCUAUCAGCUAGUUGGCGAGGUAACGGCUCACCAAGGCGACGACGGGUAGCUGGUCUGAGAGGAUGGCCAGCCACAUUGGGACUGAGAGACGGCCCAGACUCCUACGGGAGGCAGCAGUGGGGAAUCUUGCGCAAUGGCCGAAAGGCUGACGCAGCGACGCCGCGUGUGGGAUGACGCCUUUCGGGGUGUAAACCACUGUUGCCCGGGACGAACUGCCUUUUUCGAGAGGCUUGACGGUACCGGGUGAGGAAGCACCGGCUAACUCCGUGCCAGCAGCCGCGGUAAUACGGAGGGUGCGAGCGUUGUCCGGAAUCACUGGGCGUAAAGGGCGCGUAGGCGGCUUGGCAAGUCAGUGGUGAAAGCCCGAGGCUCAACUUCGGGUCGGCCACUGAUACUGCUAGGCUUGAGUCGACUAGAGGCAGAUGGAAUUCCGGGUGUAGCGGUGGAAUGCGUANAGAUCCGGAAGAACACCGGUGGCGAAGGCGGUCUGCUGGGGUCGAACUGACGCUGAAGCGCGACAGCGUGGGGAGCAAACAGGAUUAGAUACCCUGGUAGUCCACGCCGUAAACGAUGGGCACUAGGUGCUUUGGGGGAGCGACCCCUUGAGUGCCGGCGCUAACGCAUUAAGUGCCCCGCCUGGGGAGUACGGCCGCAAGGCUGAAACUCAAAGGAAUUGACGGGGGCCCGCACAAGCGGUGGAGCACGUGGUUUA